rnacentral:rRNA from 1 species
UACAGAGGUCUCAAGCGUUGUUCGGAUUCAUUGGGCGUAAGGGUGCGUAGGCGGCUUCUUAAGUCAGGGGUGAAAUCCUGGAGCUCAACUCCAGAACUGCCUUUGAUACUGAGGAGCUUGAGUCCGGGAGAGGUGAGUGGAACUGCGAGUGUAGAGGUGAAAUUCGUAGAUAUUCGCAAGAACACCAGUGGCGAAGGCGGCUCACUGGCCCGGUACUGACGCUGAGGUGCGAAAGCGUGGGAGCAACAGG